GAUGAAGAACGUAGCGAAAUGCGAUAAGUAAUGUGAAUUGCAGAAUUCAGUGAAUCAUCGAAUCUUUGAACGCACAUUGCACCCCCUGGUAUUCCGGGGGGCAUGCCUGUUCGAGCGUCAUUUCACCACUCAAGCCUCGCUUGGUAUUGGGCAACGCGGUCCGCCGCGUGCCUCAAAUCGACCGGCUGGGUCUUCUGUCCCCUAAGCGUUGUGGAAACUAUUCGCUAAAGGGUGUUCGGGAGGCUACGCCGUAAAACAACCCCAUUUCUAAGGUUGACCUCGGAUCAGGUAGGGAUACCCGCUGAACUUAAGCAUAUCAAUAAGCGGAGGA
rnacentral:misc_RNA from 1 species